rnacentral:rRNA from 1 species
UACGUAGGGACCAAGCGUUGUUCGGAUUUACUGGGCGUAAAGGGCGCGUAGGCGGCGCGGUAAGUCACUUGUGAAAUCUCUGAGCUUAACUCAGAACGGCCAAGUGAUACUGCAGUGCUAGAGUGUGGAAGGGGCAAUCGGAAUUCUUGGUGCAGCGGUGAAAUGCGUAGAUAUCAAGAGGAACACCUGAGGUGAAGACGGGUUGCUGGGCCAACACUGACGCUGAUGCGCGAAAGCCAGGGGAGCAAACGGG